rnacentral:rRNA from 1 species
AUGGCGGUUGACUAUGGGAGCAGGGAGGAGAGGUGGAGCCUGGCCGGCACCACCGCGCUCGUCACCGGCGGUAGCAAAGGGAUUGGGCAUGCCAUCGUGGAGGAGCUUGCCGGGUUUGGGGCGAGGGUGCACACCUGCUCCCGGAAUGGGGCGGAGCUAGAGGAGUGCCGUCGACGGUGGGAGGAGAAGAACCUGCAGGUCACCGCCUCCGUCUGUGAUGUUUCCAUACGUGCCGACAGGGAGAAGCUUAUGGAAACAGUCCGAGAAACUUUCAAUGGCAAGCUUGACAUACUAGUGAACAAUGCAGGGCAAUUGCUCUUCAAGCCCACUACUGAAUGUACAGUGGAGGAAUACUCAAAUCUGCUAACCACCAACUUGGAGUCGAGCUUCCAUCUCAGCCAGCUCGCACACCCUCUUCUCAUACACGCUUCUAUUGCCGGAGGAGGCAGCAUCAUCAACAUGUCCUCCAUUGGAGGCUCAAUCGGCUAUGCAGGCUCCGCAAUUUAUGCUACCACAAAAGGUGCAAUGAACCAACUUACAAGGAGUUUGGCCACCGAGUGGGCCUCUGACAAGAUUCGUGUGAAUGGCAUCGCCCCAGGAUUUGUCACAACCGACAUGCUUAAAGAUAUAGAUACAGAGUACGUGAAGGAAGAGCACUCGAAGACCCCAUUGGGACGGAGCGGCAAGCCGGUGGAGAUAGCCUCGGCAGUGUCAUUUUUGUGUAUGCCGGCAGCUUCUUUCAUCACCGGCCAGAUCAUUUGCAUCGAUGGUGGUCGAACCAUUAGUGCUUAG